rnacentral:rRNA from 1 species
CGUACACUCCUACGGGAGGCAGCAGUGGGGAAUAUUGGACAAUGGGCGCAAGCCUGAUCCAGCCAUGCCGCGUGAGUGAUGAAGGCCCUAGGGUUGUAAAGCUCUUUCACCGGUGAAGAUAAUGACGGUAACCGGAGAAGAAGCCCCGGCUAACUUCGUGCCAGCAGCCGCGGUAAUACGAAGGGGGCUAGCGUUGUUCGGAUUUACUGGGCGUAAAGCGCACGUAGGCGGACUAUUAAGUCAGGGGUGAAAUCCCGGGGCUCAACCCCGGAACUGCCUUUGAUACUGGUAGUCUUGAGUUCGAGAGAGGUGAGUGGAAUUCCGAGUGUAGAGGUGAAAUUCGUAGAUAUUCGGAGGAACACCAGUGGCGAAGGCGGCUCACUGGCUCGAUACUGACGCUGAGGUGCGAAAGCGUGGGGAGCAAACAGGAUUAGAUACCCUUGUAGUCCCA